rnacentral:lncRNA from 1 species
GAAACUAGGCGGCUUCACAGAUCUUGCACUGGGUCCCUGUGCCUGCCUGCCAUCGAGGAUCCAAAAUCUAAGGAUGAUGCUCGGAGUCCCACCACAGCCUGUCAGAGUUCACAUAGCGAAACCCAAAGCGCCUGCCCCUGUGACAUCAUCUGAAUUCAGCCACCCUCACUACCGCCACCAGCCCAGGAUAAGGAUCAUAUUUCCAGUCUCCUUUGCAGCUACCCGGCCACUGGACCAAUCUCCAACCAGGCAGAUAAAGGGAUGGAAGUUAGAGUCUCGCCUGGCGACUUCCGGUAACAGCUUUGUGCCACUUUCCCUAGAACGAUCCUCCUGCCUCCUUCCUGCCAGCUCCAUGGAUUGUAAAAUCACGUUGGGCGUGGCAGCCAGACAGAAUAAAGCACCAAAUUAAAACAGGUGCCAGUGUCCCCAUGUCAUGCAGAGUCAGCAAGGCACUCUGCACCAGCCCCAGCCCCACACUUCCUAUCUCCAGGUUUCUAAAAUAAAGAGAAAAAUGAAAUUGCCCUGUGCCCCAAA